UUACUGUAUGCAUGUGUUUUAAUUACAUGAAUACAUUAGCCAGACCAAUACUGACUCAUUCCCUAUAGAUGCUCAUUGUGAAUUCAAAAUAAAAAGUACCUCCAAACAUAACCUCCAAACAUAAUCCACAAAUAUAAACAUUCACUACCAGAAUAAUACAUUUAACACUGCAAUUUUAUCACACAUAAAACAUGGGUACCCCUAUUAACAUUACACAAUGGUUUGGCCGGCUUCCGGUGCACUGCGCCGGUGCGGCGCGGUCAGUGAUGUCCUAACCAAUCGCCGCUCGAUUGCUCUGUUUGGCCGACGCAGCGUCUCACACUGGAACGCCGACCAUCGCAUGCCCAAUUAAACACACUAAAACAAGGACAGGACAAGACAAUACAUCCAACAACGUGCAGUGUAAGUGUGUGAAAUGUCCAGGGUUAUGAAUACUGACGGAGGGGCAAAGAAAUAAUGUCAACAUGUCCGUGUGCCAUCGGGACUGCGUGUGCACCCGCGCCGCCGAUAGCAGCAACAGUGGGAGGGGAAAUGAGUGUGGACCAUUACAAAGAUCGUGUUCCCAUUGACAUGCAUUAUACGACUGACAGACUGCAACGGUUGGAGUUAAAAAUCAUCAUUUGUGUUCUACUGAAGAAACAGUCACCUGCAUCUUGGAUGCCCUGGGGUUUCACCUAAUCUGCCGUGGUGGUCUCCAGCAUCCGCCCUGGGGGUCUUCAGCUCCGCCGUGGUUGUCAUCAGCUCCACCUGCUCAACCUUGGUGGUCCUUAACAAUGCCUUGGUGUACCUCAGCCCCAACUGCUCCACCAUGGGUGUCUUCAGUCCUAUCUGCUCUGCUGAUCAUUAUCUCACUACCCCCGCCUAUUUAAGCCUGGUUCACUCACUCUUCGCAAUGUCUUGAUUGUCUGUUAAACUGCAAUUUAGAUCCUUUGAAUUCCUGUUUCUUCUGUGUCUUGGUUUUUGGUUUGUUUCCCUGUUCUCUGGAUUAUCUGUUUCACCUGUGAUCGAGGCUGCUUUCCAAUUUUUAUGUCCUUCACUCGCUAACUUCCCUCCGUCUCGUGGACUCGGAUGUGUGUCAUUGUUUAAGUUGCACGAGUGCCCACUACUGGCGGAACUCGUGCAUAAGUUUUAAAUGAAACGCACUAAGCCCUUGAUCACUUGGAAUUCACUAUGGAGCUGAUUUAUUAUUUAAACCCAUUUUGUACUUAUGAAUUUGUUUCAUGCACCAUUCUAUAUGCUUAUAAGUUGUUGGAGAAUAUAUAUAAAAUCCUAUAGGUAGCCUAUAUGAGCUGUUGGAGAAAAAUAAAAUUACACAAAUGAAACAAAAUAUCAAUAGUAGGCUAUAAACUUUGAUUGUGAACAUAAGUUAGCUACAAGUAUUAUGCGAUUAAUUCUUAACAUAAUAUAUUAUAGACUAUUAUGUGAUUAAUUCUCAAAAUAAUUAAUAUAGCCUAUCAUAUACUUCAGUAGCGAGUAAUCUGCUGUGACAUCACAAUCAAGUUGAAUUGUGGGAUACAGAGAUGCUUGAAAUGUACAUCAGAGUAGAGUCGCUCCCUCUGUCAAAAUCGAGGGGACGAGGGUCUGUCCAUAUAAACUUUCCUCGUCCACUUCACAAGUGGAACGCACUUAAAAAUUAUGGCAGGGAUUUCCCAGAGGGGAAGUGCUUAAGGAAGGUUGCGAGUGGGUGCCUAAAGUGACAGUGGAACGCAGCCCUGGACUGUUCACAUGUGUUUAACUUUUGCCUGUUUGACUUUGAUUGUGGAAAACCCCUCAAUAAAUGCUACGCUUUGA